UACGUAGGAGGCAAGCGUUAUCCGGAAUGACUGGGCGUAAAGGGUGCGUAGGUGGUUUGGCAAGUUGGUAGCGUAAUCCCGGGGCUCAACCUCGGUGCUACUACCAAAACUGUUGAACUUGAGUGCAGGAGGGGUGAAUGGAAUUCCCAGUGUAGCGGUGGAAUGCGCAGAUAUUGGGAAGAACACCGGCGGCGAAGGCGGCCUUCUGGGCCACGACUGACGCUGAGGCGCGAAAGCUAGGGGAGCGAACAGG
rnacentral:rRNA from 1 species